CUAAACCCUAAAACCUAAACUCUAAACCCGAAACCCUAAACUCUAAACCUUAAACCCUAAAUCUUAAACCCCACCCUUAACUCUAAACUCUAAACCCUAAACCCCGCCCCUAAACUCUAAACUCUAAACCCUAAACCCUAAACCCUAAACCCUAAAUCAUAAAUCCUAAACUCCACCCCUUAACUCUAAACCCUAAUGUCUAAAUUAAUUUACCAUUCGGGUAUAAGUGUAUAUUUAUCUCUUUUGAUAAAACAUUAAGUGAUAUUUUGAUCAUUUUUAUUCCUAGAAGUUAUAUUUGUGACAAAAACUUUUUUAGUGCUAUCCUAGUCAUUUUCUCUAA
rnacentral:lncRNA from 1 species